AGUGAACGCUGGCGGUAGGCCUAACACAUGCAAGUCGAACGGCAGCACAGUAAGAGCUUGCUCUUACGGGUGGCGAGUGGCGGACGGGUGAGGAGUACAUCGGAAUCUACUUUUUCGUGGGGGAUAACGUAGGGAAACUUACGCUAAUACCGCAUACGACCUACGGGUGAAAGCAGGGGAUCUUCGGACCUUGCGCGAUUGAAUGAGCCGAUGUCGGAUUAGCUAGUUGGCGGGGUAAGGGCCCACCAAGGCGACGAUCCGUAGCUGGUCUGAGAGGAUGAUCAGCCACACUGGAACUGAGACACGGUCCAGACUCCUACGGGAGGCAGCAGUGGGGAAUAUUGGACAAUGGGCGCAAGCCUGAUCCAGCCAUACCGCGUGGGUGAAGAAGGCCUUCGGGUUGUAAAGCCCUUUUGUUGGGAAAGAAAAGCAGCAGGUUAAUACCCCGCUGUUCUGACGGUACCCAAAGAAUAAGCACCGGCUAGCUUCGUG
rnacentral:rRNA from 1 species